AAGAAGGCUGCGGCCAAGGAGGUAGAGGAGGAAGAUGAGGAGGAAUCUGACAAGUCCAAGUCGGAGAUCAAUGACGACGAUGACGAUGAGGGCAGCGAUGAGGUAUAAACUACACAACAUCCUGUAUACUGUCUCUUGAAUUAGCUUAUGGUACUUGCUAGGCAUGCUUAUUGCUUGACCAGAAUGCUGCAUUAUUCCUUAGCUGUAGAUUGUAAGUGUAGAUUGAUGGUAUUGAGUUGAAGGCCUGAGGCUGUAGUAGGCAAUUAGAACAACCACCUGUUAAGUAAGAUCUGUUGUAGUGCAUGUUCUGAACAUAAGCCUGUACUGAACAUUGCAGGACGAGGACGAUGACGAGUGAAGAAGACGCAUCUUGUCAAGGCUGCUCCGGCGGACAAGUCGGGAGCUGCUGUGCGAGAACGGACCUGAGCUGUGUGCGGUGGUGUCAUAAGGAGCCUAUCCAUCUCCACUAGAAUUAUCCCAAGUUUCACUUCACAUCGUGAUGUUGUUUUACCUUUUUCCUGUCAUUGUCCUGCUAUAACGGAUAGCGCUCCCUGUUGGCGCCGCCGCCGGCGGGGAUGCCCUAGUGGUGGAGGGUGUAUGUCCUCUUCCGCGGGGUGCCCCUGCUUGUACCUAGAUGGUUACUCUUUCCGUCCAUUGUCACCGGCUAACAUUGUGAUAAUAUCAGUCUGGGUAAUGUUAGAUUAAGCUGUUGUCCUCCCCUGCCAUGCAUUCGCGUGUAUGAUUUGUUCCUUAUGCUUGCUUGCUUGGUUGGUUCUGUGAUUGCUGCUGCCCUUUUGCCGUGUAUGCCCUGUGCUGCAGUGCCAUGCUGCUGUGCGAGUGGUAUUCUUGUUUUGAAAUGUCUUAGUAUUGAACAUCAUUUUGGUAAGGAGGUGGUAUUCUAUAGGAAAAAUUAAAUUCCUAUGAACGCAUUCUCCUUGUCUUCCACUUUUCAUAUAGAUUAUAAUGAACUCGAAUGAAAAAUAAAAAUCUUAUGAUGGAUUUAAGAUGCAUGUCAUCUCGUUUUGACAUGGACUAGCUGGGUGGAAUACAUGUCGUGGUUCCGUCGUGGUUCAGUAUUCCCGAAAAAUAAAAAUAAAAAUCAUCGAUCGGCCACUGGACUCGGACCACAGAUCCUUGCAACCCGAAAGAACGAAGUACUUCCGUCGUGGUUCUGUAUUCCAGUGUCAAAACUCUCAAGACGUUGGAGUUGGAUUAGGCAUGCGCUCAUCAGGAGAUUGGUGUUGGCAUGUUGUUGUUCAGUGGCAGUACCUGCCACUCUUUGCAUUUCUAUCGCUAUCGCUUCUUGGCAUUUCUCCCCUUUAGCAGCCAAUCAUUGGCAGUAGCAUACCAGAGAGACCACCGGAAGGAAUCGGACCGCAUUUUCGACAACUUGCAAGGAUUCGCCGCCGCGAAGGCGAAUUCUCCAUCCAGUGCUGGCCGACGUCGUGGCCGUGUUGCGUGGCUCGUACGACCGUCAACCGUGCGUCGCCUCCCCCAAAGGGCAGAUGCCAUCCCAACCCAUCCAAGCUCUCUGCGUUGAAAACAAUGGCGGAAUGCCGCUCGUUCGUGAGUGAAGGAAGAUAUUUGUAUAGGCUGGAAAUGAAUGUAUGGAGGAGGAGCCGUUGCCGCUGCCCGUAUGUCUGCUGCUGGAGGCAGGCAUCCAUGAAUGCGAGCCUCUGAAUCUGGGCCCGGGCCGACAUGCCUGUCCGGCCGCAUUUACGAGCCUGCGGGGAGUACCACGUUCUGUACGUGAGGCUUUGCAUUUUGAUUUUUGUUGUCGAUGACUAUACAGUGCUGCUGCUGGAUCUGUCCCGUGGUUUCAAAUUCGAACUCGCUCGCUCCGGUGAGUGCGUCGGACGUGUCUGUCAGCGGUUAACCGUUGCGGUGGGCGGGGCGGGCGGAUUGGUGCUGGAGGGGUUAAUCGGGGUGAUUAAAUUAAGGACGUGUCAGAGGAGUGAAGAGCACAGUGGGCCUCCGUAGCAUAGUGGUAGUGCGUUCCCUUCGUAAGGGAAAGGUCGUGAGUUCGAUCCUCACCGGGGGCUUCCAUUUUUUUUAUGUUUCGUUUUUUUCUUGUUUUUUUUAUGUUUCGUUUUUUUCUUUCUUGCAUUGUAUAAAUUGUUUCAGCGUCUGCCGUAACACUCCACUUUUAGGUCAUUGACUUUAAAGAAUGAUUAAUGGAAUAGUUUCGUUGCUGGGAGUACUGCUUAAUUUUACAUCCUACUAUAUGGGCUGCUUGCUUGCUUGCUGUCCCAUGCAGGACGAAAGCGGGCGCUCACGGAUGUGGCAAAAUUCGCCCGAUAAGCUCCACGUUCUUCAGGACGGAUCUUUCUUCUCCCGUCUGUCUUCACGCAUCAUGAUUAGGCUCGUCAUCGGCGGUGUAUGCAUUUGGGAAGCUUUGAGUCCCGCCACUUGGGGCAGUUCUUUUACGGUAGUCAGCGCCCACAAGGACAAAGCCAGUCAUCCAGAAGCGCGAGGUGACGAGGACUCAACUCGUGGGCCAGCAGCCUCGCGGCCCACUCGCGAUCGACGACUUCCCCAGUGGCUUGCAGGCCCAGACCGGGCCCGUUAAGGGUGUACGCUGAUAUACGCGGUGUGUGUGCUUUGCGUGUGGAUUGGGAAAGGAGUUGGUGGCUUCGGCCAUGGCUAGUGUGUGGCGUGCGUGAGCUUGUGCAUACCUCAUGGUGAAUUAGCCACAGAUCUGAGAUCAGAUACAAGUUAUAUCCUCACAACGGUCUUCUAAAAUAAGCUGAAAUAAGCCGCCUCCUAUCCAAAUUAAUCUAAACCUAAAAGCCCAAUCAACUUUUUCAAAAGCUUACUAAUUACGAUUUGACUAGUAGAUUUAAAAAAUAUAUUUUUGGUUGGGCUUCUAUAAUAAGCUCGGUAGGAGAAAGCUUAUUCUAGAAGCUCAAAAAGCCACAAAAAUAAGUGGCCCUGACAGCGGUGCCAGAUGAUGAUGGUCUUCUGCAAGAUGGCCACGACCUUUGCUUCUUCUCCUGACCUGCACGUCAAAAGGGUGGUAGGUGAGCUAUGGUUCUCCGUCCACAGCUGUCACUUCUCGUGAGAUCUGGUACUGCAGCGGUGACGACCUUGUUGGCCCAAGUGAUAUUCUCUCCGACGUCGGCAAGGCUAUUCAGAGUUGGAGCUCAGUGUUGCAAGAUAACUCAAUUGCAAUCUAUGCUUUAUUUGCGGGGCUCUUCUUGUAAACAUGUUGGACAUAGUUGAAAAUUUAGUUUUCAGUUGGGUCCUCGUGUGAGUUGUAUGUGUUUUUUGUUUAUAAUAUAUAGAGCAACUCUCAGUCCUUCUGAAUCCUUCACAUGUUCCAAACAAAAAAAAACUUAAUUUGGCCACAAUGAUGUAUUUUUGUAUGAGUAAGAAGCGUGAGCUUCAGUUAAAGGUGGCAAUGAAGCCUAGGCAUAAAUGUCGGUGCAGGCGAUGAUGACCUUUUUGAGUGCCACUUCCUUCCAUGGGAGCAUCGUUAUGGGAUCGUGCCUUUAUCACUCGGGCCUUGAGCGCGAAAAGAGCCACUUCCUUCCAUGGAGGCAUUGUCAUUGGGCCGUGCCUCUAUCAAUCAGGUUUUGGGCAUGAAGAGCGUCACUUCUUUCCAUGAAGGCAUUGUCAUUGGGUCGUGCCUCCAUCACUCGGGUUUCGGGCAUGAAAAGCCAUGGCCUGGUUGCUUAAGUGGAUGUUUUCGAUGCCUCUACGUCGUUCCCUCCUCAAAGGCUUGUGCUUAGACCCUUGGGUCUAUAUCAACUGACCAUCGUGUGAUUGGUUCGUGGACCACAACAAUACCGUUCUCUUUUUGAGCUACAUUUGUGGCAGAUGUAUGCCUUGGUCCAGUUAUGGUGUUCAUUCAACCUCUCAAGUGAGCUUCUUUGUCACCUGAUGGGUCGGCACCCUUCAUGCCAGGGCAAGGGGACCGAGAUUCCACCUGGGCGAUAGAUGGUGGUACAUCAUCACUCCUUGAAGUAGGUGAGUACUUCUUUUGAUAUAGUUGGCUGACAUCCAUUCUUUGGCACUACAUCUGUUUCACCUUUAUGGGUGUAUGCAGAGGUCGGGGGUUAUCCUCCUUUUCCAAAAAAAAAAUCUUCUUCACCCUUGGUCUACAUGCCCCGUUUACGAUGCAUGUGAUGUUCUUUAUUUUAUUCUUUAUUUUUGUUUUAUUCUUGCUGUUUCUCUCAAACACCUUGUGCUCUAUUCCGAACUUUCUGUUUUUUACUAAUAAUUUAGAGUCGGGAUAAUGGCUUUCUUUCUUAGCUUUUGUUGAUUUGCGCCAGUAACCAUAAGUACGGAAAGGAUACACUGGUAUCUUUGUUUUGCAAUAAUCAAUAUUUUCCUUUGCAGCGCAGAUUUGUCAUGGCAAAAAUAAUAAUUAAUAUGGUCUUGCUAAAUGUAGGGUGUCUUCAAUAUUUUCUUAGCUGGUUUUCGAGACGUGAAUGUAAUCACGACGAGCAAGCAAUAAAGCUUUAAUAUAUCAUAAGAUUUUUUUUCUCAAGAAAGAGUAAAUAAUAAGGCUUGUUGAUUUGCAAAAAUAAAAAAGGUUUUUGUUUUCUUAUGCCCGAACCAUCACUUGAGCCAUCCAGCAUCCAAGCAGUGGCGGAGCUUAGUGGAGAUCAACCUGGGCCAUCGCNNNNNNNNNNNNNNNNNNNNNNNNNNNNNNNNNNNNNNNNNNNNNNNNNNNNNNNNNNNNNNNNNNNNNNNNNNNNNNNNNNNNNNNNNNNNNNNNNNNNNNNNNNNNNNNNNNNNNNNNNNNNNNNNNNNNNNNNNNNNNNNNNNNNNNNNNNNNNNNNNNNNNNNNNNNNNNNNNNNNNNNNNNNNNNNNNNNNNNNNNNNNNNNNNNNNNNNNNNNNNNNNNNNNNNNNNNNNNNNNNNNNNNNNNNNNNNNNNNNNNNNNNNNNNNNNNNNNNNNNNNNNNNNNNNNNNNNNNNNNNNNNNNNNNNNNNNNNNNNNNNNNNNNNNNNNNNNNNNNNNNNNNNNNNNNNNNNNNNNNNNNNNNNNNNNNNNNNNNNNNNNNNNNNNNNNNNNNGCAUUGAGAUUCGUGCAAAAGCUGCGGCGUCAAGAUUCGAUCGAAUGGUUUUGACUCGGACAUAAGAACUCCAAGUCGAUGCUGGUGAGUGGACGUGAAAUGAAAUGAAAUGCAAAGCGAUGGACGUGCCAGGAUCAAACUGUCGUCGUGAACGUCCAGCCGGCUCACCAAGCUUCGGUUCUCUUAGCUUUUGUUGCCUGCCGUCCCACCAAUCUAAAAUGUUUGGUCGUGCGCGGGACGACUCCUCCCUCCGAGAAAUCCAUUUGGUGCCAUUGUUGACACAGCAGGCGAUCGAGCUGAACCAGAAACCCCAAUCCUCCUCCUCCUCGAACCUCGAUCAGCAGCCAGCACGGUCGCGACGCCCGCCGUCCCAAGAAUCCGAUCGAUCGAUGCUCGGCCAGCCGAGCGUCAUCGCCCGCCUCAUGGGCAUGGAGGACCAGCGCCACACGACGGCGACGACGAUCGUCCAAGCCGCGGGAGGAACCAGUACCACGACCAUCAGCCUGUUGAAACCGUCGUCGUCCCAGGCCGAGCAGCCCAAGUGCGGCCCGCUCGGCGCCCACCACGGCCGGCGCAUCGGCGGGGACUACUACAGGUACUGCCUCAACAAGAUGAAGCCGCGGCGGAGGAGGGCAAGGUGUGAUCGUCGCCGCCGCGAGCAUCCGCAGGAGGAGCUGCUGGAGAAGAUCAAGGAGGACUUCCGGGCUUCCUGGCAGCUGGCCUCCACGGCCACGCCGCCAAUGGGGACGGAGGAGGAGGAGGGGGUAGUGACGUCGGGGAGGAGGAGCGGUGGUCGGGUGGCCGGGCUGUUGGACGGGAGGUGCAUCCAGAGGAUCGCGCAGGAGAACCUGCGCCGGGAGAAGCUGGCCAGGUACGGCUAUGGCGGCCGCCAGAGCAGCGCGGAGGAGGAAGAAGAAGACAUUCAGGUGGCGGUUGUAUCUACCCUGAAGAAAUUUGAAGCAGAGCAGCAGCAGCAGCGUGGUUCAGAAGCUGCAGCGGCCAUGGAGGCUGCAGUGUCUGAAGAACAUGACGAGCAUGACCAAACGAGCGGCACGCCGGACAAAUCGCGCGGCAUGCCGGCGACACGGAUAGCGAUCCUCAGGCCGACGACCAGUGCUGCUCUCGGUGCCGCCGGUGAUCAUCGGAACGCCGUUCCGACGCCGUCAUGGAAGGCGGUGCGGGACGGCGGCAUGGACAUGGAGGACUUCCUCCGGGAGGUGAAGGAGAGGGCGGAGAGGCUCAAGGCCGAAACGAAAGCCAAGACCGACGGCGCAGGCGACGUGGUCGCGAAGGAGAGGAGAGGCUGGGGAACCGUCGGCGACGGCCCGGAGCGAACGGCGCAAGACACGGCGAGGCAGAUCAGGGAGGCCGUCGGCAAGAGGCUGAGCCGGCUGGAGUCCUUCCGCGUCUUCCGAGGCGACCGCGGCCGGCGCGACGGCGCCGCGGCGUCACCGUCCCCGGAGCACAGGAUGCUGAGGAGCGUCAUGGCGAGGACCGAGGCCAUGUCGCCGACGAAGACCACGGGCAGAGCGCCGAGGGGCAGCAGGUGGUCACCGUUGCGGGCAGGCGCUGGCGUGAACGACCGGCAGGGCACUGACCGUGACCCGCGGCGGAGUCCGGCGAAGCUGCACGACGACGAAGGCAUCGACUUCGUCGCCGCGUCGCCGCGGGCGCUGCUCCGGUCGUUCUCUGCCCCGGCGGCGGGGUGUUCUUCGGACGCGUCGUCUGUAGGCGCGGAGAAGAUGGUGGGCCGGAGCAGAAGCUUCAGCAUUUUCAGAGGGACGGUGGCCAGCCUGAGGCAGGGUCUCUGCCUGGGCGGAGGAGCAGGGAAGCUGCUGCUGAUGCAUCUGUCCAGGAAGAAGCCUUCCUCUCCGGCGUCUCCCUGUCAGAAUUUCCUCGCCGGACUGGCGCCUCCUAGCCCGGUGUCGCCGUUGGAGGUCAGCGGCGGGCGCCAUUUCUCCGGCGAUCUCAACUGCACGUUCCUCCCAGGUACGGCAAAAGUCUGAAGAAAUUUACCAAAUUUUUUGCUGCAUUCCAUAUGAUCUCUCUGCUGCAGCAAUGCGUUUUGCUGAUUCUUCGUUUGCAGAAUCGAGUCCGAGGUGGAGUCCCAGGUGUUCGUCGGAAAUCGAGGCGUCCGUGGGCGGCGGCGAGUCGCCGUGGGAGUGGAAGGCCGACGCCGCGGCCGAGAGCGAGGACCCUGACACGGCGUACGUCAGGGAGGUGCUCGUCGCCGCGGGGCUGUUCGACGACGACGACGACGACGCGACGGCCGCGAGGACGGACUCGAUCGUCAUCUCUGACGACGUCUUCGAGGAGGUCGAGGACGGGUACUACUACCGCCGCCUCCGGCGCCGCGACGACGGCGCAGGAGAGGAGGAAGAACUCGGAGCGGCGGACCGCCGCAGGCUGCUCUUCGACCUGGCCAACGAGGCGCUGCUGGCGGGCGCGAGACCUGCCGUCUCGUCUUCUUCGCCGUCGUGUCUGCGCCGGUGGGUCGUCGAGUGCAACAAUGGCGCGCCGUCGUCGUCGGGGCCGCGAGGGAGGGAGCUGGAAGACGAAGUGUGGCGGCACGUGGCGCGGGCGACGGCGGAGGGCACGGCGGAGCGCGACGUCGGGAGGUCGCCGUGGGUGCCGGAGGCGCUGUGCGGGGACGCCUGCGCCGUCGGGAGGAAGAUCGAGCGCGCCAUCUUCGACGAGCUGGUCGGCGACGUCGUGCGUCAGCUGUUUGUCUGACUGCACCUUUUUUUAAGGGUUGUCUGACUGCUCGAGCAGGUUUUGUACAAAAAGAAAAAAAAAGAGGUCGUAAGUGGGCUGCAGCAUGCAUAAGUUGCUAGCAGAGCCCAACAAUGUCCUAGCCACAGGGAAGCCCAAUGCUGCAGUGAGCAAAUCAUGAUGUACAUUGUUAAUUAGAUUUUUUUAUGUAGGAGUACACUGUUCUUUUUGUUGAGAAGAAUAUGAGUACUCCCUCCGUUUUUAUUUACUCUGCAUAUAUUAGAGUUGACUGAAGUCAAACUUUGUAAAGUUUGCCCAAAUUUAUAGAAAACAAUAUAAACAUUACCAUAACAAAUCUAUAUGAUGUGAAAGUACAUUUAAUAAUAAAUUUAAUAUUAUUGAUUUGUUAUUGUAUAUGUUCAUAUUUUUGUUUAGAAACUUUAUCAAAGCUUGGGCAUAAAUAAAAAGUUUGCCUAAUGCUUGACUUUGAUCAAAUCUAAUACGCGGACUAAAUAAAGCUUGACUUUGACCAAAGAUAAUACGUGGACUAAAUAAAAAUGAAAGAAGUACAUUGUUAGCAGCUGAUAAUUUGAACUCAUGUUAUUACCAAGCAUAGGUUUUCAUUCAUAUCAGUUCUACUGUUGAGACUAUAUUUUUUGUGUUGUGUCUCUGAAAUGAUUAUUAUCUUUCAGUCUUGCUAAGUCUCAGUCGACUAAGACUUCGUUAAGUCUCAGUUGAUGCUAUAUUCAUAAGAUUUACAUUGAAAUCUGAGCAAAAAUUUCUUCGUUUUCUCUCUCUUGCAUGUUAUGUCACUUGACUGAGACUUGGUUAAAUCUCAGUCGACUAAGAUCUAGCCACACCCAUUAUCUUUCUCGCCCCCUAAUGACUAAAUCCUGGCUCCAUUCCUGCCCGGGCUUCUCCAUAGUCGCCCCAGAUUUGAAUUGGAUAUGAGGUCUAUCCAUCAGCCCCGAGCUUUUAGGGCCGGUUUAAGGCGUCCGUUUGAAUCGCCUUCUUUCUAUGGAGGGAGUUCGGUGCGUCUGGCGGUAGAUGCUCUAGAAAAAUUAGCUCCAGGACCUCGAUUUGAUGAUGAGUUAAAAAGUUCGGACGGGUGCACUAGGCUUACGGGUGGGCCUCCACCCCAUGGUCCAGGGCAGAAUACUCAAAUUAGUCGGCACGACGAAUCCACCACGGUAGAGCAGAGCAUUGCUCCUCUUCCCAGAUGGAUCUAAGCCACGCCGGCCGCCACCGCCGCCGCUCCGAGCUUCAUAUGCAGCCGGCCGGGAUCCCCCGCCGUCGCAGCACGGACGGGCUGGAGGCGCCGCCACCGAAAGCGGGUAAGAGUGUACCAGUCUCGGUGUCAGUGUAUUGUAUUUCUGGACUAGCAACCACGGUUGGUUGUAUUGUAUCUCUGGACUAGCUAGCUAGUGUACUUAGCUCGAGUGAAACUGCUAUGCCUGCUUGUCCCUGUAUGUGUUGCCAUACAGUAGAAUCAUAGCAGCUGGGAUCUUGCAGACACACAUUAGUGCUCACAUCAAUGAAUUUAUGAAGACUGGACGGUUACAUAAACAUAAGAGAUUCUAGACUUCUACUCUUCUAGUGCUAGCACAGCAGGACACUUGAAAUAACAACAAAUUGCAAAUUUAAUUUGUUGAUAAAGCAGGCUGCCCCAUGAAAUGUUUCCUGGACAAUGUUUGACUUGUAGCAUAUCUGGGAUCUUGCAGAUACACAUUAGCACUCAUAGCGGUGAAUUUGUGAGGACUGGAUGUUACAUUAGAGGUUGUAGUGCUAGCAGGACACCUGAAAAUAUAUAACCAAUUGCAAGUUUAAUUAGAGUGUAGGCCUUGGAGUUCCGAGUCGACGGGACCAUUCUCUAGAUUAUGGCAUAUCCUUCCCCGGGCUUGUGCUCAAGGGUUUUAGAUUUCUUCUUAGCAGAUCCAGAGAGCGAAAAAUUGGAUGAAGUGGAUCGAGUUUGUUCCAUUCAUGAAACAUGGGAGGUCUUGCGGAAAAUGCUGUGUCCUUUUUACCAUUUUCUCAUAAAGGAGUCUGGUUCUGUUAGUUUGUAUCGUCAAUGUUUAGCUUUCAAUUGAGUCAACUUCUACCUAUAUUACUGGUCAAGAGACUUUUAUCUUUAUUGUUGGUUUACUGCAUAUACCAAAUUACAAAACAAACUUGCUGUUGAUUAGCAUGUGAUGGUUUGCUGUCACCUGUGCCCACAUUUGGUGUUGAUCUGACACGAACCUGAAUGCUUAAACAUUUAUCUGAAAAUCAUUCAAGUUAUCUAAAUUCUAAAUAUAUUGCCAAGGUAUCAGUUCUAUGUGCAGAGUAAGGCUUUUGCUUGUUGCAUAGAUAUCAAACCAUAUAUGCAUGACAAUGAGGGGCAAACUAAUCAGCAAUCACCAGAUAUUUACGUGACAAUACAUCUCAUUGCGGGUACUCACAACUCUGUAUGAUGUGUUCUCAUAACAAACUUCUGGGUUUGAGUUGGAUCAAGAUGCUGUGGUGCUCUUUAAGACGUACAAGUUGGAGGACUAAACAACGAGAGCAGUGUAUCAACUUAUGAAAUGUAAAUUUGUAUUGCCCGUGUCAGUGAAUCUAUGCUGAAUUUUAUGUUUGAUGACUGUACUAGAAAUGGUCAACAUGGGACUACAGAAGAUUAGGUAGACCAACCGGCAUUAUUACCCUGUCCUAUGGGUACACCCGAGGGUGCUUUGAAGGAGAAUGUUAGCUCCACUAAGGAGUCUGAUUAGCUUGAAGACAACCAGUACGUAAUUUACCAGUUCUUAAUACGGAACUUGACACAUAAGGUGGAAAGGACAGAUCAACAAGCUAGGCAAACAUGACGAGCCAGAAACGAACAAACCAAAACCAAGCUUAGAAUGCCAAACAUAUAACCUCCAUGAAGCCAAUUAAGUGUACAUGACCUGGAUGUUUCAGCAUAAGGUCUUGCGUUAUAUACUGCCGACCUUGUUACUCCUUUUGUGUUAUUCUAACAUAGCUAUCCCUUAUCCUGUGAAUCGCAGCAGCUGCAUCUCCUAUGCACAUUCUCUUGGUGGGUGCAUGCUUGCUGCAUGACAGGGCAACCUCUAUGACAGAGAACAUGGCAUUGCUGGUAUGUUCCAUUGUGUUGCUUCCAUCCAGCAAACUACUGGCACUAGCUUCUUCAAUGGACAGUAGGACUGGAUCGACGAUCUGCAUCAGCAUCCCUGGAAAUGCAUCCUUGGCAUGUUUUUGCAAGGUCAACCCGUCCCUGAACAUGUCAUGAGUAGGUGCCUUGCCUAUAAACAACUCGAGGAUGGCACACCCAAAGCUGUAUACGUCCCCACGUGAAGAAACUUGACCGCCUUCACCAUAUUCUACAUUUGCAUACAUAAAAAGGUAUGAUUUUGCAUACCUGCUAAAUUUAUGCUGUGGACUGUUUGAUUUAAUGUUAGAGAAAAUUAAAGCUACCUGGAGCGACGUAGCCAAUUGUUCCUCUUAUUCCAUUCGAGCUCUUUGAGUUAAUCAGUUGCUCGGCUGCUGGUUCGGAAAGAAUCUUUGCAAGGCCAAAGUUUCCAACAUGAGCAACUAAAUCCUCAUUGAGAAGAAUGUUGCUUGGCUUCAGGUCACAGUGAACUAUUGGCGGUUCCCAGUUGUUGUGUAAAUAAUCUAGUGCAUCCGCAAUAUCGACUGCAAUAUUUAAUCUCUGCAUCAAUGUCAAUCCUUGCAGUUGCCGUGAUGCAUCAUGUACAUCCGGAUGUAACCAGCUGUCCAGGUUCCCAUUGGGCAUGAACUCGAACACAAGAGCUUUGAAGUCGUUUUGGCUUGAGUCAGAGCUUGAGCAGCAAGUUAUGACACUGAUCAAAUUACGAUGGCGAACCUUACUAAGUGCCUCACACUCAGCUAAAAAGCUUUUGGAACAACCAGUCUGUUGGAGAUCAAAAACCUUCACCGCUACGGUGGUCAUCAUGUUGUUCAGCAAUAAAUGACACUUAUACACUGAUCCAUGCAUUCCUCUACCAAUCAAAUUGGCUGUGGCAAAGCCACCUGUUCCCUGGGCCAGUUCAACAUAAGUAACUCUUGGAUAAUUGUCACCCAUCAAUUGGAAUCCACUUGUGGAUGUGGAUUGAGCUUUUGUUUCCUUUCUCCUUGUGAAGAACACAAGCAUCACACUCAAGCAUAGAAUUGCGCCAACAAUUGGGAUAGCUAUUGCGAUAAUGAAAUGGCGUUUCUUCUUGUGUUCCAUUGAUUCCAGCGGCGGGCAUGGGGGCAACCGUAAUUCUGAGUUACAACCACAAAGCCUCGAAUUCCCUUCAAACAAAAAUCCAGUCACAUUACUGAACACACCCUGCGAUGGAACUUUGCCAUCCAGAUUAUUGAAGGACAAGUCUAACCGAUACAAUGAUGCCAUGUUUUGCAAGCUCUCAGGGAUAUGACCAGACAAGUAGUUGUGUGCAAGAUACAAUUCUUGAAUACCGUCCAUGAGUCCUAACUCUUGAGGAACCACACCAGAGAGUGCAUUCUUGGAAAGAUUUAGAAAUGUCAAGCCCUGCAUUUUGCUGAUAGACGAGGGAAUGGUACUAUUGAAGUAGUUUUGGUCCAACUUGAGCUCUAUCAAGCUUUGGCAAUAGCUAAGUGUAUCAGGUAGUGGUCCUGAUAAGUUGUUCAUGGAUACAUACAUGUAUGUAAGCUUUGUCAGACUGCCAACUUCAGGUGGAAGAGAACCAACCAAAAAGUUGUUUGACAAAUCCAGUGUAUUUGAUAGGGUUGAUAGGUUAAAUAUCUCUUUUGGCAAUGUACCUGAAAACUUAUUGUUUGAAAAGUCUGCUUCAGUUAUCUCCUGGAGGUUCCCUAGGCCUGUUGGAAGGGCCCCCUUAAACUUAUUGCUACCGGCUGAAAGAACUAGUAGCCGUGUCAAGUUCCCGAGGGAGGAUGGCAUGGACCCUGAAAAUUGAUUAUUAUUGAAAUACAAUUGCUGAAGCAAAUUUAGCCUUCCGAUGCUGUCAGGCAAGACACCAGUAAGUUGGUUGUGAGGGAAGUCCAACACAUUUAGUCCGACAAGAUUGCUUAUUCCAAAUGGUAAUUUGCCAGAAAUUUUAUUAAAUCCAAAAAUAAAUUGUUGGAGAUGUGCUGAUAGGUUGCCAACUGAGCUUGGCAGCAUGCCACCUAGCAUGUUGGCCUGGAUGCUAAGGAACCUGAGGCGUGUGCAGUUUGUGAGGAAUGUCAUAAACUCCCAGUCCUGAGCAGUGGUUGCCAUUAGCUGAUUACUCUUAAAAUUGAGGACUUCUGGGCAGAGCAUUCCAAUCUCAGGAGGAACUGUUCCGGUGAUGUUGUUGAAGGAGAUGUCGAGAAACCUUAUCUGAGUUGCAUUGACAAGAGAAGCUGGAAGGCUUCCUGUAAAGCUGUUCAACCCGAGGAACAGGCCCAUGAGGUGCGGGAUGUGAUCCCCCAAGUCAGAGGGCAGUUUACCAUCCAACUCAUUGGCUGCCACACUAAAUCCAACUAGAGAUGAAAGGUUGAAGAGAGCUGUAGGGAUGGUACCUGAUAAAUGGUUAAGUCCGAGGGAGACGUGUGUGAGGCUUUGAUGAAAGGUUGAUGAGGGCAGUUUACCUCUCCAGAUGUAUGAUCUUGAGCUUUGACAGCCCUGCAAGCCAGGCAGGGAUGUUCCCGGUGAAGAGGUUGAAGUCAAGAUUGAUAGCUUCAAGACCGGUGCAGUUGUUCAAGCCAGCGUUGUUCACAUCACCAUGAAAUGAGUUGCCGGACAAAUCAAUGUGCCGUAAACGAGAAAAAUAGCCGAUCGACGAAGGCAUUUCGCCGUUGAAUUUGUUCUGGCUGAGGUCUAGGAUCUUCAGGAACGUGAGGUUUCCGACCGAUGGAGCGAUUUUGCCGGCGAGGCCCCCCGAGGUGAGGUUAAGCGCUGCCACCCUGUGCUUAUGCUUAAGGCUGCAGGUGACACCUGGCCAGGAGCAGAGAGCAGCGGUCGUGUGUUCCACGCAGCCAGCGCGCCUCGCUGGUCGCUCAGGCUCGCCUUGAAGGCCAGCAAGGCAUCCACGUCGGGCUUGUCGUCGAGUGUUGUUGCUGAUGCCGAGUGGAAUGCGUAGGGCAGCAGAAGCAGUAGAAGAUGAGGCCACAUCGCCGAUGACACCGAGAAUGGUAGAAUGAAUGUAAGCUUGAGGCCGUUCAACAUACCGUAUAGUGGAACUGUGUACUCUUACAUACAUUAUGUAUGGUUAUUAUUAAUCUGCCUAAUUUACUGCAGAGCAGAUAAAUCAUGUAGACCAUUUCUUUUCGCUCCGAAAUCAUAAGCUGCACUAGCCGAUUGUUUGGUCAAGGAGGAAGUCAAACUUGGUCCAUUGGAGCAAGUUUUUUUUCUUUUUUCUUUUUUUUUAAUUGAGAAAGAGGAUAAACAACAGGCCUCUCUGGAUUGGAGCGAGCUCCUUAUCCGAAGCAACAGUGACCUAAAAAGAUGUGCGCUCGGCUCACGCCGUAUACAUCGUCAGUCAGAAGAUGGCCCGGCUCCGGUUGAGAUGGUGGUAGGGACGGUAACUCACGGGCAUCUGUCGGCGGUUAGUACGAGUGAACGACAUAAACAUGAGGCGUGGCCCCCUCCGGCCCUACACGGCUGCCACCCAGUAGCACACUACUCCCUCCGUUCCUUAAUAUUUGUCUUUCUAGGCAUUUUAAAUGGAUUAAACAUACGGAUGUAUGUAAACAUAUUUUAGAGUGUAGAUUCACUCAUUUUGCUCCGUACGUAGCCACUUGUUGCAAUCUUUAGAAAGACAAAUAUUUGGGAACGGAGGGAGUAUUUGCUUUCUUUUUUAUAUUUAUUACUUCAAACCCCUAGCGUUCCUUUUUUUUUUGAGGUUUACCCGUAUCGUUUCUAGACAAGUAGGUAUAAGGUAAAGUCUUUUUUUUUACUCCAGCACGAUCGCGACGAGCGCUCACACCGGAGACUCCUCUGGCGGUUGCUGCAACCGGAGCUAUGUUUCUAAAACGCGGGUUAUGUUGCAAUUCUUGGCCUCUCAAGCUCUAAUGAUGUGUGCUCCUUCGACACUUUCUGCAAUCGGGGAUAUAUUUAUGAAGCAAGAUCCCUGUUGCAAAAGAAAAGAUCUUCACCAUCAGACCACUUUUUUUCUUCUGAAAUAAGACCCUGUUGCUGAAAAAAAACUUCAUCACUGAACCUUUUUUUUCUUCUUCUGAAACAAGACCCUUGUUAAAGGGACUUGUGGCCAGCGUGAGCGUUUGAUCAGGAUUGAUCCGACGGCUACGCAUGCAACAGGAUUAAGUGUGUAAACUACAAGCGAAGGCGCCUUAAAUGAAGACGCUUUUGGCUGUCGCCGAUGACCAUCCACGAGUGUGGCAUCCUUCCCUUCUCACGUGCCUUUCCGUAGCGCGUAGUCAACCUGAAGGACCUUAAGCAAAUAACACAACAGACUCUCAGUUGUGCAGGCAAUCUGCUCCACUCUACUCUCAAAUUUAAGAUAUAUCUCAGAGACAAUUACCAAGAUAACAGAGUCUCAACCUAGCCAUUUCAACUAAGCUAAAUAAUGGACAUCUACUGGUAACUCACCUGCACAUUGCAUCCAAUGAAUCUCUUUCCAGUAUCAACUCCUUCAAAAGCCAGACAUUUCUUCGGCCUUUGCUUCUACAACAUGCGAUUCGGCACAUCAUCCACAACAACACCGUUGUAAAGCGGCUCAGGAAUGAUGUCUGGUGUCUCCUGCGUACAUUGCAAGCUAGAUCAACGACAUAUUCCAUGUAAUCUGUGCAGCAAAGCUCAAAACAAGAAAAAAAAUCCCCAAAUCCAAGAACCCUAACCCUAACUAUUCAGAGAGGAGCCAAUCUUACAAAGUAGUCCAUGUCCAUGAAGUCGUCGCCCAUGUUGAUGUCGUUGUCACUGCUCUCUUCCGCAUCCUUCCACGACGACAUGUUCACCGGCGACGAGAAAGGCAACGACAUGGUCGAGUAAAGAGAGGAGAACGAGUUGGAGAGUGAGGGAGAGGGAGUUAGCCGUCUCGAGUCAUUUUGACCCGGUCAGAACGUCAGCCUCUAACGUCCGUGAGCACGGGCGCCGUCUGUCGGCUGCCGACGUGGCCCCGACGGGUGGGCCUGUCUUGUCAUAAAUCCGUUCAAGACGUAAUGAUUGGCGACUUGGGUCUUUUGAAACAACCAACCCUCGAAAGUGGGAGUUAUAAAGAAAAUUUUAAAGGCGGUAGUUUUUUGGAAACCUAGCCCGAGUUGUGGUAGGUUUAUGCUAUUUACCAAAGAAAAAAAGAGCAAGUAAUAAGGCUUUGUUGAUUUCCAAAAAAAAACUAUUAUUUUUCUUCUUAUAUUUAAGUCGGCCUUUUAGCCAUCCGACAUCUAAGCAUUGAUAUUCGUGUAUUUGAAAAAUGUCAAUCAUGUAUUCGAAAAAUGUAAAACGAUUAUAAGGAAAAUGUUCCUACUGUGCAUGUGGCGGAGUGCGGCGGGCAUUUUUUUAGAAAAAUGAUUUUUUUUAGAAUACCAUGAACAUUUUUUGUAAUUAUGAACGUAUUUAAAAUCACAUUUUUUUUUCAAUUUUCAAUUUUUUCUUCAAAAAAAAGCGAACAAAAGCUGAAUUUCUAACAAUUUUGGAUUUUUGGAAUGUUUUAUUAAAUACUUAAUUUUUUGAAAAUACGAACAUUUUUCAAAAUAGUGAACAUUAUUUGUAAACAUGAGCAAUUUUUCAAGUUGUGAAUACUUUUCGAAAACGCAAACAAUUUCUGUGCAAACCAAGAUUCCCAGCAUGGCAAGCAUCCAAACGGCCCAAAACGGCAUCCAGCGGGCCUGGCUGAGGUACAUGUAGACUACCAAACACCUCCCUAGUGGAUUCGAUUCCAACAUCGAUUUGUAAGUGCCGCCAUCCAGUCGAAUAGUUUGAAUUUGGGUGGCACCCAUGAAGUCUUGACCAGAUCACCCAACCGCGACGAAGAGCUGCUUUGCCAUUUUUAUUUUCAGACCAUUUCCAUCAUUGCACAUCUUCUUCCUUAAUUCAACAUGGCGGAUCAGAAGGAAUUGAAAAGAUUGUGACGAAGUUAGAUCAUUGAUGUCACGCGUCCAACAGUUUCUUUGAAGACCCAUGGCAAUGGUGCGCUCCCGUGUGGUUUCUCUCCGAACGAAUUCCAUCGACUCAAGGAAGAACACGCGAGCACACUGUUUUUAACACUAUACCAUCACAGAUGCUCGCAUAGACGUACAUACACUCAUAUUUAUGAACACACACGCACACUCUACCCUUAUGAGCACCUCCAAGAUACUGAGAUGGCACAACAUUUAAACCCUCUAGCUUUCAACUAAUCGGGAAAAAAACACCUCCGANNNNNNNNNNNNNNNNNNNNNNNNNNNNNNNNNNNNNNNNNNNNNNNNNNNNNNNNNNNNNNNNNNNNNNNNNNNNNNNNNNNNNNNNNNNNNNNNNNNNNNNNNNNNNNNNNNNNNNNNNNNNNNNNNNNNNNNNNNNNNNNNNNNNNNNNNNNNNNNNNNNNNNNNNNNNNNNNNNNNNNNNNNNNNNNNNNNNNNNNNNNNNNNNNNNNNNNNNNNNNNNNNNNNNNNNNNNNNNNNNNNNNNNNNNNNNNNNNNNNNNNNNNNNNNNNNNNNNNNNNNNNNNNNNNNNNNNNNNNNNNNNNNNNNNNNNNNNNNNNNNNNNNNNNNNNNNNNNNNNNNNNNNNNNNNNNNNNNNNNNNNNNNNNNNNNNNNNNNNNNNNNNNNNNNNNNNNNNNNNNNNNNNNNNNNNNNNNNNNNNNNNNNNNNNNNNNNNNNNNNNNNNNNNNNNNNNNNNNNNNNNNNNNNNNNNNNNNNNNNNNNNNNNNNNNNNNNNNNNNNNNNNNNNNNNNNNNGAUCGGUCCGCCAAUUUUUAGAAAACAAUGCCUCCAAACCUUUUGAAAUUUCAAAAAACGCCGCAACCAACUUUCAAAAUUAGACCCCCGACCCCCCAAAACCUUUCCAUACAUGUCGUAAGGCCAACUCCACCGUGCGACCCUAUCUUGUCCGGCCCCAUCUGUUUGGGGUAAAACAGACAAAGGAUGCGGCCCAGCGCGCGACGGCCCGGACCCAUCUUGUUCAUUUUGUGUCCGGGCCGACCCAUUUCAAGCACAAACUUACGCCGGGUUUGGGUCGCGACGGACACCAAACGGACGCGCGCCUCGUCCGCGUCGGGGUCUCGUGGCAGGCGGCCACCUACCUCCCACCCGCCCACAUCAAUGCGCACGAGCGGGCGACCCCACCUGUCAUCUGCACGUCGAACGGUCGCCGUCCUUCUUUAAGUGGGAGGCUUGGACGGGCCGUCGUCCACACUGCCCCACGCCACCCCGCGGCCAGAGGCGGAACCAGGAUUUCCGAAAGCCUAGGGCUAAAACUAAGCUGCUAUAAAUAACGCCAAAUGCCACACAUACAAAUUCAAUGCUAUAAGCAUGAAAUAUGUAUUCUAAUGUUGUAAGAGCAAAUUUGAUAAAACAUAUAAACAAUUUACAAGGAUGCAUCAUUGCAAAUGUAGGUACCAAAUUAAUGAAGACGUAAAGUAGUAAAUAUAAAACUGAGUAUUUGGAAUCAGUACACUUACUAAGUCAAAUUCUUAAUACAAAAUUUUACCAAAUAAGAAUAUAAUAUACCAUUAUCACGAAGUGCAUGACGUAGACAUGUAGUAGCCCCUUGCAUUUCCUCAUUUUGUGAUAGCAUAGUAUGAUCUUUAUAUCGUCAAUGCUUAGAUGUAGACUGGUUGGACGUUGCUUGAAAAAGAUGUAAUUGCUCAAGUCCACUUGAUCUUUGGUUUAUAAUUCCCGUUGAUAAUAUAAUUGAUUGACGUUACACAAUUUGACAUUAUUAAAUAAUUGAUUUAUACUGAUACAUAAAAAAUAAGGAAGAAAAUUAGAUCACACGUGGCAGAAAUUACCUUUCCAGCCGGUUUGGUAGUGUAAGGCUGGGAAUAGAGCAGUAGAUGGCAAAGCAGAUCUGAACUGGAACAAAAAUUAGACGGCGCAGCCAUGAGCGAGGGCUUGGUCAGCCGAGCUGAUCGAAUCGCUCGGCGAUUCAUUUGCUUUCACCGAUUGGUUUUCAAUCUUAGGUGCAGCCGAGCAGGUAGAGAGCUUUUCCUUUUGAGAAACAGUUGGAGAGCUUAGUGGGCUGAGAAACUUGGAGAUCUAUGGGCUGAAGCCUGCGGAUGGGUAUACAUGCCUGGGGCUGGGCCUUUAAAAGGUUAAAAUUCUGAACAAAAUUUACUAAGGCUAUAGGUACUAGUUGGGCUACGCCUGGGGCUAUAGCCCCAGUUGCCCCGGGCCCAAUUUCAUCCCUGCCCGCGGCCUUCUCGAAACCCGACAACGCCGAAUCCAAAUCCUAGCCAAGAACUCGCCGUCCGGCCGCCUGCAGCCAUGGGCCUCUGGAAUUACGGCCGCAAAGGCAAGCACGACCGCGAGGCCGGUUCCUCGUCGGGACGCCGCCGCGGCUCGGUGAAGAAAGAAGAGCCCGCGUCGCCAUCGCCACCAUGUCGGGCCCCCGCGCCGCCCGCCUUCUUCAUCGCGCCCGCCGCCGGCUCGCGCGACCGACACUAUAUCGAGGCGGCCGUCUGCCGCCGUUAUUGGGAGACGAGGACGCCGCUGCCCUGGAGUGACGCCCACCUCCCCAAUAACUGGCAUCUGUCGGCCGACCGCAUGCCGAUCCCGCCCGUCCCGCAGAGCGGCCGUGCGCGCCGCUAGGAGAUCGAGCGCCGCCGCCGCCUUCUCCCGGACGACCUCUACCACGACGAGAGGUACGCCCCCGACUCGACAUUGGGGAACACGUGGUUCCGCGAUAAGCACGACGUGCGACGGGCGUCGUUCUUCGCCGGCACGUCGACGGGGCCGCGGCGGCCGCGUGAGCCCUGAGCGGCUCCCCAGGCGCGCGGGUCCGCGGCCUGACGCCCAAGCCGUCGCCGUCGCCAUCUCCAUCGCCACCCCCACCUCCUCGCAUGACGGUGGAGGAGGAGGCCCGGCUCAUGGCGCGUGUGCUGGAGGACUCCAUGCACACGCACGAUGAGCGCCACUGGGCGGACCUCGAGGCGACGAUGGCCCUCUCCGCGGCCGGCGACGUCGCCAUCCCCGAGGAGCCGCCGGUGGCCGCGUUGCACCCUGACCUGAUGGGCCAGGGGUGGAGCUGGUCGUGCUCCGCUGAGCAGAUGGCGGCUGCCCUGGGGGCCGUGAACUGGUGCCUCACGCCGCCGCGGUCGCCGGAGCGGGAGGCCUCGCCUCGGGAGGAAGUGGUGCAGGCACCAUCGGCCACCUUGCAGCCCGCCGCCCCCGUGCACCACGGACCGCUGGCCCACCUGUGGACGCCGCCGGAAUACAUCGACCUCGUCAGCGACGACGACGACACCGGCGGCCAGUGAAGGCGGCGACGGCCAUGGCAUCGACGGGCGCGGCAGGAGCGUGCACGCGGGAGGCGUUUUUUUGGUUUUAUGUUAAUUAUGAACUGGGCCGUUUAAGUAGACUGAACUGGGCCGUUUUGUGGCCGUAACCCCUAUAUAUGUUUUAUGUUUUUUUAACUGCAUUUAUUUACCUUUUUAGUCAUUUCAAUUAAGUUUUUAAAUUAUUUUUAUUCACGUCCAUCCCGGACAGGUUUUAGGGUGUGGCCGCGCGUUGGGCGCAUCCACAACCCAUCGAACAAACACGGACGUGGGCGAACCCAGGGAUAAAAUCCGGUCAAACCGGACGUCCGUUUAGAGUCGCGCGAUGGAAUUGGCCUAAAAAUAGGCGAGCCGUGGCGGACAAUGGCCAAAACGCCACGCGCCGCCGCCCAAACCCGAAAUCCGGCGGCUCGCAACAAAGGAAAAGAGGAAACUAGCGCCGAGUUUCGGGGAGGGAUGGCACGACGCGGGGUCCACCCUGGCGAGCGGCGCGGCUGCGGUCGAAAAAACAGAGCUUUUCCCUCCGUCCCCUCCCCGUCCCGAUCCAUCGAUCCCCCGCCCGCCGCCUCCCCCGGCGCCGAGGCGCUCCAGCACUGAUGGCGGGAGCCCGUGGCGCGGCCGCCCGCCCGCCGCCCCACGCGCGACGGCGACCCCGAGGCCGCCCUCGCCGCCGGCCUCGGGGGCGGCGUCCCCUGCCUCCGCCGGGCGGCCGCAGCUGAUCUCCGCCGGCGGCGCGGCUUCCUCCGAGCGUCCGCGCGGCCAGGCACGCCCAAGGUAGCACACACACAACCUACCCCCGCCCCGCACGCAGAUUAGCCAUAGCUCAUGCCAUGUGUUUGUUCCUCGUUCCGUCUCGUGCCGCCACCGAACAUAAUCAGCAAGGAAGCAACACGUACGCGCGCAGAUCAUCCACGCGCGUCCCUUUUUCCCAUUCCGCUCCGGAACGGCAGAAUUCAGAGGAACUGAAGCGGAUCAGUUACCGGCUAAAGAGUGAAGAAAAAGGAUCUGGCUCCCUUCCCGGGCCGGCUAUGGGGUGGCAUCUUGGCGUGAUGGGGCGGAGCAUCUCACCCUCGCCCUCACACCACCCGUUCCGCAAAGCUUUUUUGUCCACCACCAGAGGCCUUUGCCGCGCAGGAAUCAUUCCCUUCUCCCACACUCGUCUCCCCCUUUUCCUUUGUGUUCUAGUAUCUACUCCCCCCGUUCCAAAAUAGAUAGUACAAAGUUGAGUCAUCUAUUUUGGAACGGAGGUAGUAUGUAUCCUUUUAUAUAUGCAUUGCAAUCACAUUGCACGGCACACAUACAUGUCCCUCCUGAGUAACCCCGUGCCGUUCUUCGCUCAUUCCUUAGCUGCCACCCUUACCCCUUCUUUGCUUUAUCACCAAUCAUCGUCAUCAUCAUUAUCGACAACUCGUCAUCAUUCUUAACACUCGGCGCUCUGAGGGAUUAAUUGGAGGAGUGCUGUUCAUUGCGGACUGAGGAACGUGCAGUGCAGAAUCCAGCAUGCAGCCACACCUCUUGCCGCCGGCAUGGCUGCCAUUGGGCUACGGCCAUGGAUUGCGGCCGCGUGCUCUCGUCGUCAAAGGUGCUCAAUUGACGUCGCUUUCUAUCGUGCUUUUGGCACAAGGCGCUGGUUUCCCUGUCGUAUGAUGUUUCGUGUGUACCGCGAUUAAUUAUGUGGAUCUAGCGGUUCUUCGUGUGCCGGCCACGUCUGCGGGGAUACGGCUGCAGGAGUUCCUGUCUGUCAUUAACACACGCGAAUUGUGAUGCCUGCAGCUCGUGACCGUUUCGCCCUGUCCACCGCAGGCAAAUGUCGGGAUGCUGUGUUGAAUUUGAACGAAACCGACAUAGGCUCUUGUCGUGAGAUUGAUUCUGAUCGCUUUCUCUUUGAACAAUCAGGUCCAUGCCGUUUCCACGGCAAAGGAGAUGCUGCCCUUGUGGAAACCGCCGGCUCGCGUGUCGCUCUCCAGAUUGCGCAGGCCACCAAAGUAUCCAGUGCUAAUGGUAUUGUUGCCUUGACUCGGUCUGCGACCCAGUGACCUUGUGUUUGUUUUAUGCUUCUGUUCUCUCCAUCGCUCGCUUUAGUGUCACUGUCUACUGUUAGCUAGCACUGGGAAAGUAUCAUAACAUUACUAAUUUACUAAUUAAUCUCAGCUGGCCAUCUCCCGUUUCUACUGUCUGUUGUUUUGCUAUCUGCCAUCAUGCCAGCCUAUGUACUCCAAUCUGUAGGCAGCUAAUUAGUACAUAUAUUUUUUUAGUCCUUUUUAUUAUGUUCCUCUUUAGCGAGUACACGUCACAUAAUUAACAUAUUUGGAGCUCAAUUACACAUGCUGCUACUCAUUUACCCAAGGAACGAAUGGCCUCUGGUGAGUUGGUACGUGCUAUACCAAUUAUAGCACACAUAAUUAGCAGGCGAGACAUGAACAAAUGAUCAGUCAACGAAUCAGGAGUUGAUAGGAUCCGGAUUUUCGGAACACACAACACAUUAAUUAGUAGGUGAGACAAGAACAAAUGAUCUGUCAACGUCUCUAGGUCCUUUUUACAAAACGACACGACAUGCCAUUUGUCGCCAAGAGGAGUCGCACUUAUACUGAUAGAGUGCACAGAAACAUGAGAAAAGGGUAUACUAGAGAGAAGGCUAGGAUUAAGAUUUUUUCUUUUGGAGCACACAACACGUUAACUAGUAGGCGAGACAACGGUUCAUCAACGACUAUUUUUUUGGCAUCAAGAAGAGAAGGAACCCGAACCUAUAUGAAGUUCACUUUAGCACAAUGAUGUAGCUUUCUUACCAGAUCCCAAAGCAUCAAUUAUACAAAAGAAUGCUUCUGCAGUUUAAAGUCAAGUCUGAUGAUAGAAAGAUUCUCGACCUACUAUUGUUCUCGUUACCGUCAGUGUCACUGCCAUCGUUCUUUCAUCAGCAGAUCAGCUAAUAAAAUCCUAGGUGAACUUAACCCAAUCUCAGUCUGUAUAGCUUGAAUUUAAUUUACAAUCAUGUAAACUGGACCUGGAGCUGAAAUUUGGUAACAUGUUAAUGCACAUGGAGGCAUUAUUAUUCUAGUUAAUUCAAAAUGAAUGUGAUGUCUUACGCUGGAUACAUUUAAUCAUUUGUGUGUUUCGACGUAACUGCAGGGUUGCAAACGAACCUUGUCAGAAACGAUAUUCAGAUUCUAGAACGGACUGAGGAACCAUGUGAACUCGACGACUACUGUGUGAUUCCCGGGACAGAGUUCGAGCAGGCACUGGUCGACCAAGUGAGGAUGAUGCUGGGGUCAAUGAGUGACGGCGAGAUCAACGUCUCGGUAUACGACACCGCCUGGGUCGCUCUGGUGCCGAGUCUGGAUGACAGUGACAGCCCCCAGUUUCCCACCACCCUCCGGUGGAUUCUUGACAACCAGCUCCCAGACGGCUCCUGGGGAGACGCUGCCCUGUUCUCCGCCUAUGACAGGGUCAUUAACACCCUUGCCUGUCUCGUGGCUCUCACAAAGUGGUCUCUUGGCCCUGAUAAAUGCAGGAGAGGUAUUGCAAAUCUACAAACUGAUACACGCAACUGUUCUGCUAAAGUACCAAAUGAAGCAAGGUCUUUCAACUAAAUCUAUGCAUGAUGCAUCCUGGUUUUCUUUUCAGGGCUCUCUUUUCUAGAGGAGAACGUGUGGAGGCUAGCUGAGGAAGACCUAGAGUUGAUGCCCAUUGGCUUUGAGAUCGCGUUCCCUUCUCUCCUGGAGGUGGCCAAGAGCUUGGGCAUUGGGUUCCCGUAUGACGACCAUGCUCUGCAGCGCAUAUAUGCCAACAGAGAAGUGAAGCUCAAGAGGUACCCCUAUAUCCCCUUUCAUGCCAGAGAUGCAGAUUACUUCACAGUUUUCCUAGUUAAUUAUUAAUUACUUCGUAGGAUUCCGGUGGAGAUGAUGCACAGGAUUCCAACGUCGAUCCUGCAUUCCCUUGAAGGGAUGCCUGUGGUGGACUGGCAGAAAAUCCUCAGGCUCCAGUCUACUGAUGGGUCCUUCCUCUAUUCUCCCUCGGCUACAGCCUAUGCUCUCAUGCAAACUGGUGACCCGAAAUGCUUCGAAUACAUCGACAGAAUCGUCAAGAAAUUCAACGGAGGAGGUAAGAGAUCCAUGACCAUUAACUACACUAAUAUUGGAUGGGAUUGAGUUCUUUUUUUGGGUAAUUCCUGAUCCUGUGUGCAUUGUUCAUCUUGAUUGGCACAUUUCAGUUCCCAAUGUUUACCCGGUCGAUCUCUUUGAGCGCAUCUGGGCCGUCGAUCGAUUGGAGCGUCUUGGAAUCUCGCGCUAUUUCAAGCAAGAAAUCAAACAGUGCUUGGACUAUGUUCAUAGGUUUAAUUUCUCCUUCAUAACUGUGUGUUGUUAACAAUAGCAUGGUAAUCUUAAACUUUUGGUCGCUUCAUGAGGAAAGUUUCUUCUAACCUCUAUACUCACUCUUUAGGCACUGGACUGAUGAGGGGAUUGGCUGGGCGAGGAACUCCACUGUAAUAGACGUGGAUGACACAUCCAUGGCAUUCCGGCUGCUGCGGCUACAUGGAUACAAUGUCUCCCCGAGUAUGACCCCCUUUUCCCUGCAAACUCAAAUAUUGUAUCGUGCUGUACAUACUCUGCAGAGUAAUAAUAAUUAUUUCAUGUCACAAACAAAACUGACAUUUUGAUUCAUUCACAGGUGUAUUUGAGAAGUUUGAGAAGGACGGGGAGUUCUUCUGUUUCGUCGGGCAGUCAACGCAAGCAGUCACUGGGAUGUACAACCUGAACAGGGCCUCUCAGGUAAGGUUCCCCGGAGAGGACUUGUUGCAGCGUGCAGGGAGAUUCUCAUAUGAGUUCCUUAGAGAAAGGGAAGCCCAUGGCACGAUUCGAGACAAAUGGAUCAUUGCUAAGGAUCUACCAGGCGAGGUAAACACAUCCAUCCUGCCAAUCAAUCGGUUUAGAUGGACUAGGAAGUAAACAUAACUCUCACAAUCUUUGGCUUGAUUGCUGACGACACUUGAUAGUUAAUUUUUUUUGAAACCCUUAAAGAAUUGUACUUGAUAUUUCCAUAUACAAUAUGACUAUUUUAAACACUCUCUUGUUAGCAUAUUAAAAAAAAUUAUUAUCUUAUUAUUGUGAAACAAAAUAACCUUAUCUGGAUACGAACAAGAAUAUAAAUACCUUUAUGUAUGAUUAUAGGUAAAAUAUACACUGGACUUCCCAUGGUAUGCAAGCUUACCGCAUGUAGAAGCAAGAGUCUACCUAGAUCAAUAUGGUGGUGAUAAUGAUGUCUGGAUUGGAAAGACACUCUACAGGUAAAAAAUGGUUGAAUUCCAACAAUUGGUUAAUUUCAUACUCGUUGAGGAAAGAUCCCAGAGUUGAUAUGCUGAAUGGUUUUGGCAGGAUGCCACUUGUGAACAACAACACCUAUCUUGAGUUGGCAAAGCGUGAUUUCAAUCGCUGCCAAGUCCAACAUCAGCUAGAGUGGCAUGGCCUACAAAAGUACGCAUUAAUCUCACAUAACAUUUUGCUAAUUACGUCUAAUUUUUUUCCUGCAUAACAUGUCUUUCUAUGUAUUUAGGUGGUUUACUGAGAAUGGGCUCGAAAUUUUUGGGGCGACUUUAAGGGAUGUUUUGAGAGUUUAUUUUCUAGCCGCCGCUUGCAUUUUCGAGCCAAGCCGUGCCAUCGAGCGACUUGCAUGGGCCAAGGUGUCAGUGCUGGCCAACAUUAUUACUAAAUACCUUCGUAGCAAUUUUUUGGGUAAUGAAAUGAUGGAACGGUUUAUGCAUGGUGGUAUCUAUGAAGGAAAUAGUAAUAUAUCAUGGUAAGCACAUUAACUGAGCAUCACUACUCAAUCUAAACCAUCGCACCAAAUGAUAAGUAUUUACAUGCUUAACUGGAUCCCUUUGACCAAUUGUUCUUUUGAUAAGAAAAAUGGCAAACUAAUACUAGUAAUUUGGUAGAUGAUUUCCACAGGUGGACAAUUGUGAUGCAAACAUAACAUCCACUAUCUAGAAAUUAAGACCUUCAAACUUGCAUAUGUAGCUUCAUUUUUUGCUUACAAGAGAUGAUGUAAUCUUUAAACACUACUAUUUAAUGUCUUUAUGAAAACAUGGACUUCCAUUUAUAAUGUCUUUUCACUUUUUUUAAUAUGGUUCACAUGACACAAUUUGUCCAUCCAGGCGUAAAGGAGAUGCAAAAGAGGACAUUCUUGUGGGGGCACUUGAGCAGCUUAUUGAUUUAUUGGCACAAGAGGCACUACCUGUUGGUGAAGGACCAACGUACAUCAACAAUUUGUUACGCUGUGCUGUAAGUUGAACGACCAAUUGCACCUUUUAUUAGAGUUAUUAAUUGCCAGAAUGUUCUCUUGGUAAACAUUCUAAUAUAUUUCUUUGGACCUCUAGUGGAUCGAGUGGAUGAUGCAACAGAAAAACAGAGAGGAUGACACCUGCAUUUCAGGUGUUGUUCAAGCAGGGCCAUGCAUGGUUCACGAUAAACAAACAUGUUUGCUUCUAGUGAAAAUUAUUGAGAUUUGCGGUGGACGAAGUGGUGAAGCAUCAUCGAUGAUAAACACCAUGGAUGGUUUUUGGUUUAUUCAACUUGCGUCCUCUAUUUGUGACAACCUUCACCACAAGAUGUUACUUUCUGAGGUAGUUCUUUUACGCUCAAAUAAUAUAUUUUUUGCCAUAUUUUCUAGUGAACUUUGUGAUACGUACAUGGUUGAUGGUGUUUUUCCCAUUUGAAGAACUGAACACAAUGACAGAUCACUGAAGUAUUCUCACCCUUUCUUGGUUACUUGCGUGCAAUGAAUAGCCCACAUGUGUAAACUGAAGCAUGCUCUGAAGCAAGCUCCAAAACAUUAGGGAUCUCAUGCUAGUUUUGGCUUGUAAAUUAGCUUAUAAUAACUUAUUUUAAUUCGGCGCUAGAAUUUAUCGUCUUUUUUUUUUGUAUCUGCUCCAUGCAAGCAAUAUUCCCAUGUACAUACCAACUGUGAAUCAACACGUUUUCGUUAGAAACAGAGCCACACAUCUGACAUCUGUCAAACUAACUAUGCAAUUUAUUUACAGGACACCAAAAGGAGCGAGGCGACAAUGAGCCACCUGGACGAGAAAAUUGAGGCGGGUAUGCAGCAACUCACCCAGAACGUCCUCCGGGCGCACGGCGAUGGAGCGAGCAGUGAGCCAAAGCGUACCUUGUUGAGCGUCGUGAGGAGCUGUUACUACGCCGCUAACUGCCCUCCCCAUGUAUUCGAUGGACAUGUCUCCAAGGUCAUUUUUGAACAUGUGUUUUGAAGGAAAGAAAGAAUAAAUUGUCCUGCAAUGGUAGGAAUGAGUGGAGGUGGGAUCUGUAUGUACUGUCAAUGUUUUUGAGUCGACUAGUCAUUCUGGGGUUGUACAUAUACAUAUUUUAGAGUGUAGAUUCACUCAUUUUGCUCGGUAUGUAGUCCAUAUUGGAAUCUCUAAAAGUCUUAUAUUUAGAAACUAAGGGGAUACUUAUUAAUAGUCUGUAAUACAAACCUGACCAUCAAUAAAAUUACCAUAGUAUAUGAUAUACUUAUUAAUAGUCUCUAAUAAAUAAAUUAUAGUCGUUCGACUAAAAAACCACGACUAGUCGUGACUGGUCGAUCGAGUCGCUCGACUGAUCCAACUAGUCGAGUCGACAUCUUGAGUCAACUUGGCAGUUGCGACUCGAGUCGAAGACUAGUUGCUUGACUCAAAAACAGUGUGUGCUGUACAUGGAAAUAAUGCUGCAAGGAGUGCUAGUGGGAAGGAAAAUUGUCAAGUUGGAUUAAUUGUUAGGUUGUAUAUGUUGCAGUUCGUGUUUGAUUAUCUCUUGAUCAGAGGAUGCAACCCCAACUGUAGGAUGCACCCUUGACGCACAUCACACUCCAUUUUUGUUUUUGAGGGGAUCGAGCUCCAGCUAAAUGAACUAACUAAUUGCCCGUGUUGGAUUAACAUCGAUUAUGUAUAAUAUAUAGAAAACUCAUGUACAUUAGAUGGUAUUGUAAAUUUGAUUUACUGUUGGAGACAAUUUUUGGUUGGUGAUUGAUUUAAUUUUUUAUGGCAGUGGAUCUGCUGGGAAAACACGUGAGUGCAUACUAAGAAAGAAAGAAGAUGUGAUCAAACUGGAUGACGUUGUAGUUGGUAAAAGGAAAUAGAGAAUCGUGAAAAAAAUACUUCAAUCUAUGGGGCCCUGGUGGGACGUACAAACUCCCCUUUAAUACUAACUAGCUAAUUGUCUGUGCGUUGUAACGGGGCACCACAUUUUAAUGGUUUAACACCACAUAUACCUUUAGAAUACUCAUGUACAUUAGACUGUAUUGUCGAUUUCAUUUACCAUUAAAUAAUUCCUCCUCCACCACCAACCCCUCUCCCUUUCUCUUAAAAAAACGAAGACUUGAUUAACCUUGAAGAAAUAAACCCGUUGUUAGAGGGAAGGAUGGACCUGCAUGCGUGGGUUGUAACGGACCGAUUUCCCCGGUUUUCUUGGCGUUCUAAGCGUGGGAUGAAGGUGGUCGAAGGUUGAGUGAAAUGGAAACGUUGUCUCUUUUCUUGGAAGUGUAGACUGAUUGAUUUGCGUGUAUGGUAGUGAGUCUGUUGGGCUAUCGGAGGGUGGAUAUGAUUAAGUGCAAAAGCUAUAUAUCGCUUACUGUGAUACAUAUGAUAGCCUCGCCUAUAUGGAGCACUACAGUGGGCCGGCCCAAGAAGCGGUUUCGAGAAAAUGGUUUCUCGAACCUUCCACCCGGUUCCGGCCCGGUUUGGAGAAAGUUAUACUGGUAUUUUUCUUUGUUUUUUUAUCUUUUAUGUCUUUUUCUCUAUCAUUUUUUUCUUUUUCUUUUUUUGAAAAUACAUCUCACAUUUUCUAAAUAUACAUAGAAUAUUUUUUGUAUACAAAUCGAACAUUUUUAAAAUAUACAUUGAAAAGUUUCUAAAUACAUGUUGAUUAUUUAUCGGAUGCAUGUUGAAAACUUGUAAAAUACACAUUGGACAUCACUUAAGUGCACAUAGAAAUUUUUUCAAGCACAUGUUGACCAUUUUGUAAAAAGUUAUGAACAUUUUUUUCUCAAAACAUGCAAACACUAGUUAAGUGUUAGAACAAUUUAUAUAUGUUACUAAUGUUUUUAAAAAUCAUGUGAACAAUGUUUUACAUUUCAUGAACAUUUUUUUUAAAAUGCCAUGAAAGUUAAUUUUAAAAGUUAUCCACCCUGCGGGAACUAGGAUCAUGAAACAUAAUUUUUACCAACACACGAAUAGGUAGAUAUCAUGAAGCGCAAAAGUUAUAUAUCGCUUACUGUGAUACAUACAGUAGCCUCGUCUACACGAGAGCGCUAAACUGGGCCGACCUAAGAAGCAGUUUUCGGAAACCGGUCGUGGAACCUUCCGCCCCGUUUUGGCUGGUUUGGAGAAGGUUCUACGUGCUUUUUUCCCUUUAAGAUGUGUUUUUAUCUAUCAUUUGCUUUUUCAAAAUACAUGUCAUGUUUUUCUGAAUACACAUUGAACGUUUGUUGUAUAGAAAUCAAAUAUUUUUUAUACACGGUGCACAUUUUUAAACACACAUUGAAGUUUUUUUUCGAAAAAUUCAUUAACAUUUUAUAAAACAUGCAAACAUUUAUUAAGUGCUAGAACAAUUUUUAAAUUUCAUGACCAUUUUUAUACGUGAUGAAUAUUUUUUAAAUUACACAAGAAAUUUUUUCUAUUUCAUGAGCAUAUUUUAACAAUGUCAUGCAACAUAUUUUAAAAUGCGUGAACUGAUUUGAAUGACACGAGUAUUUUUUUGCAAGGUACACAAUUGUUUUUCAGAAAUCACACAAAAAAAUUACAUCUUCAUGAAAAUUUUAAUAAGAUGUCAUGGAAAAUUUUUUAGAUGCGUGAACAUUUCUUAAAUGUCACGAACAUUUUUUGAAUCAACUUCAAAAAAAUGAUCGACGUGUUUUUUACACUGGAUUACAAUUUUUUUCUAAUUGCAUGGUGAAGAUUUUUUAAAAUUUCAGCAGUAUAAUGUCUGGAAUAUAUAUAUUUAGAAUAUUCGAAAAUAUAAAAAAGAAUAAAAAGAGCAGAACAAACUAAUGAGUGAAGUAGAGUGCUAAUGGGCCAACCCUCUAGCGCAUCGCUUGAGGCAAGGCUACACUCGGUCUCGAGUGAAGCAUACUUAGAAGCAGCAAUGAUGAAGGCAUACUAUUGAGUAGAGUGGACCUACCUUGAAUCCGCUCUGUUGAAAAUGGUUUUUAAACCAAGCUGGGUUUCUAAGAUAACAAAUUAUGUCUUGAUAAUUUCAUUUAAUGUUUUGGUGAAUGGAAGCAACCUGGAGGGUUUAGAACAACUAGCCAUGUACACCCCUUUUAAGUUUUCAGUUGGAAACAACCAUUCUAUCUACUCUAUUUUGGGAUGACAAUUGGCCACCAUAGGAUAAUCUACUCAGAGCGCUGCAUCCUGCUUGGUUAACCCACUGGAUAUUAUCUUAGAUCUUAAAUAGCGUGACUAGAACAUGGAACACGGAGCGAUUGUUAGAGCAUAUGUAGGAACCUGAUACAAAGUCAUUUUCAACAUCUCCCUCAGCUCUUGGAAUAUCAUUGAUAGCUAGGCAUGACAUUACUAACGUAGUGGCAUUUUUUGUAUGAUGUACUUGCCGGCCGCUGGUGAUACAAAAAGGAGGAGGCUGGACUGGCUUGAGGGAUGAGCGACAUUGUGAGACCAAGGCGCAAACCAAGGCAAUGGAAAUUGCUUUGGAAUAUCAAAGUUUUGGAAGUUGUUGAAUAUUUUUCUUAGAGGUUACCAUGGAAUUCUAUCCCUACUGGUCAUGUCAGACUCAAGAGGAAUAUGUUGGACAUUGAUGUUUGCUUGAUAUGCAAUGGUGCACAAGAUACGUGGCGACAUACUCUAAUAGAUUGUAACCGGGCAAAGUGUGUCUGGUCCCUUCUUGACGAAGAUCUAGUUGAGCACUUGAUUGCAUGCAAACAGUCAGAUGCAAGGUUGUUGUUGCUUGAUCUCAGAGAGUCAUCAAAUGCUGGUGAUUUCACUAAAGCUUUGGUUAGCUUAUGAGCUAUUUGGUGGCCGUGACGCAAAACGAUACAUGAACACUAGUUCCAAUCCUCACUAUCAACAUUGUGCUUUAUCCAGAAAUAUUUGGCGACCUUGCUUUGUUACCUUAGCAUGCCAAGAAUGUGAAUCCAUCUAGACAUUUGCAAAGGAUAAAACGUUGGAAGCCAACCUCACAAAAUUUCUCUAGGAUGAACAGUGAUGUGCCCGUUUCCAAGAAUCAAGAAAAGGGUGCCAUUGCUACACUGUGUCGUCACGAGCAGGGAACAUAUCUAGUGCUUCGAUUAUGGUUUUGUUGAAAUUAACUGUACAUGAGAUUAUGAAAUGUCAUGGAGCGAGUGCCUGAAUUUCCCCUCUGAUAUGUAUUUGAGAAAAGUUCAAGCGGCGACAUAUUGCAUGGCAACCGUGAAACAUUUGAAGGAACAAUAUUGUGGCUCUAGCACCAUGAUUAUUGAAGAAAUCAAACCAAAGAUUGAAGACCUUAAAGAAACCAGGAUUGAGCAUGAAAUGAGAGAAGCUAAUUCUGAGGCACAUGAUCUGGCUAAGGCCGCGCCAUCCAUUGCUUGUAUUUCAAACUCUAUAAUAGUUUAAUAAAGUGUUUUAACCCUUAAAAAACAGUCCAUGCAUAGGGCGGGGUAAGAGACAUCACGCACCCGUCCCCACCUAAUGGGUCAUCCCACUUGGGGCUUUCUUGUGCAAUUGUUUUAUUUGAUUUCUUUUCUUUUCUUUUAUCUUUUCUAUUCAUACUUUUUUUAUCUUUUUUUUGUUUCGGGAAAAUUUUUAAAUUCAAUAAAAAGUUUUUAAAUUUGGAAACAAUUUCCAAUUCACGAGUAUUUUUUAUAUUUUAGAACUUAAAUGAGAAAGUUUUUAGUAACAGACAUUUAUAAAUUUGUGAAUGUAUUUUUUUACUCCACAAACAUUUUCUUAAAUUCAAGUUUUUUUUAAAUUUUGCAAAAAAAUUGCGAGUUUUUUUAAAUUCCAUGAUUUUUUUCAAAUUCCAUUAAAAAAAUUCUUGAACAAAAUUUUAAAUUGGUGGGAAUUUAAAAAUUCGUGAUCAACAUUUUAAUUCAGGAACAUUUUGAAUGUAUGAACAUUUUCUUUAAUUCCAUUACAUUUUUAAUGCACAAUAAUUCUCUAAAUUCACUAUUCUUUUUAAAUUCUACAAGAAUUUUUAAAUAUAGACUCUAAAAAAAUCAUGAGUUUUUGAGAAUUUUGGAACAUUUUUUCCAAUUUGUUUUUUAUAUUAAAAAUUUGAACAUCUUUUUAAAUCCAAACAUUUUUUAAUUUGAUUAAUUUUUAUUUUUAAAAAUAAUAUAACAAAAUUGUUUUGUGAGAAAGGAGAAACUCCCGGUAAGCUUAACGAAGAAUGCUUCCCUACUGGCGAAUGCUUGCUACAGCAGGUUACCUGGACAAAAGGCAAAAAAAAGACAAAGAAAACCACUUGGAAACGAAAAGAUGGCCAACCCACCCUCCGGACGGGUAUGUGUGUCCUCGUUGUUCGUCGCACAACACAAACAAGGGAAUAAUUUCAAAGAAAGAAGAUUACGUCGACCAAGAAUGAGCAUAUGCAUAUGUCGACAAUGUUGGGUCCAGAUAUCCAUAUUUUUUUCAUCCCUCACUAGCUUAUUGAUUCCCAUUUCGUAAAGAAAUAAGCUACCCGUGGAGCAGUCACUAUGUUGUCAUUCUUCGAGUUAGCUUUGGAACAUUCCUAGACCUUUUGUGAAGUAUUUUGCCCGACACUAUUUAUCAUUGAUCCCCCCCCCCUCCCUCCCAUGUCGUCAAUAAAAAUGGAGCGUACAAAUCACCCAUGGACAGUAAAAUUUGUCCCCGAGAACUCCCAAACAUUGAAUGACGAAAUUCAUUUCAAUGGUUACACAUGCACGGUUACUAGUAGUAGAGAUAUAUGCGAUUAAUUUGGUAAGAUAAAAAAAUGAUUUGAUAAGAUAAGAAAAAUAUAUGUUAUUUUUAUCGUAUUAGGAAAGUUGUGAUUGCCAUUUAAUAUUAGAGAUAACGAUAACAACAAAUGACAACAUAUUAAGGAAUAUCAUAUUUUGUUUUGGAAGGUUAUCGAGGAAAAAAAUAUGUUUUUUUAGAAAGGUGAUCUCACGUGAUUUCUAAAUUUUUAAUUAGCUACUAUUAUUUACGUGAUUGAAUUGAAUCAGCACGUGCCAAAAUAAGCAUAAAACAAAAUCUCCGUUUUUAAUUAGAUUUGGUGAUAAUGGUGAUGGUGAGAGAUAAGAUGGUGAAAAAAACACCGAAAAAAAAA
rnacentral:lncRNA from 1 species